ACGCUGGCGGCAGGCUUAACACAUGCAAGUCGAACGGUAACAGGGAUUAGCUUGCUAAUCUGCUGACGAGUGGCGGACGGGUGAGUAAUGCUUGGGAAUCUGGCUUAUGGAGGGGGAUAACUACGGGAAACUGUAGCUAAUACCGCGUAAAAUCUUAGGAUUAAAGGGUGGGACUUUCGAGCCACCUGCCAUAAGAUGAGCCCAAGUGGGAUUAGGUAGUUGGUUAGGUAAAGGCUGACCAAGCCGACGAUCUCUAGCUGGUCUGAGAGGAUGACCAGCCACACUGGAACUGAGACACGGUCCAGACUCCUACGGGAGGCAGCAGUGGGGAAUAUUGCACAAUGGGGGGAACCCUGAUGCAGCCAUGCCGCGUGAAUGAGGAAGGCCUUCGGGUUGUAAAGUUCUUUCGGUGACGAGGAAGGUUGGUAGGUUAAUAGCCUAUCAAAUUGACGUUAAUCACAGAAGAAGCACCGGCUAACUCCGUGCCAGCAGCCGCGGUAAUACGGGGGGUGCGGGCGUUAAUCGGAAUAACUGGGCGUAAAGGGCACGCAGGCGGUGACUUAAGUGAGAUGUGAAAGCCCCGAGCUUAACUUGGGAAUUGCAUUUCAUACUGGGUCGCUAGAGUACUUUAGGGAGGGGUAGAAUUCCACGUGUAGCGGUGAAAUGCGUAGAGAUGUGGAGGAAUACCGAAGGCGAAGGCAGCCCCUUGGGAAUGUACUGACGCUCAUGUGCGAAAGCGUGGGGAGCAAACAGGAUUAGAUACCCUGGUAGUCCACGCUGUAAACGAUGUCGAUUUGGGGAUUGGGCUUUGAGCUUGGUGCCCGUAGCUAACGUGAUAAAUCGACCGCCUGGGGAGUACGGCCGCAAGGUUAAAACUCAAAUGAAUUGACGGGGGCCCGCACAAGCGGUGGAGCAUGUGGUUUAAU
rnacentral:rRNA from 1 species